UACGUAGGGUGCGAGCGUUGUCCGGAAUUAUUGGGCGUAAAGAGCUUGUAGGCGGUUUGUCGCGUCUGCCGUGAAAAUUCGAGGCUCAACCUCGAACUUGCGGUGGGUACGGGCAGACUAGAGUGUGGUAGGGGGAGACUGGAAUUCCUGGUGUAGCGGUGAAAUGCGCAGAUAUCAGGAGGAACACCGAUGGCGAAGGCAGGUCUCUGGGCCACUACUGACGCUGAGAAGCGAAAAGCAUGGGGGAGCGAAACAGGG
rnacentral:rRNA from 1 species